rnacentral:rRNA from 1 species
GAAUUCAACUCCUACGGGAGGCAGCAGUGGGGAAUAUUGGACAAUGGGCGAAAGCCUGAUCCAGCCAUGCCGCGUGUGUGAAGAAGGUCUUCGGAUUGUAAAGCACUUUAAGUUGGGAGGAAGGGCAGUUACCUAAUACGUAAUUGUUUUGACGUUACCGACAGAAUAAGCACCGGCUAACUCUGUGCCAGCAGCCGCGGUAAUACAGAGGGUGCAAGCGUUAAUCGGAAUUACUGGGCGCAAAGCGCGCGUAGGUGGUUUGUUAAGUUGAAUGUGAAAUCCCCGGGCUCAACCUGGGAACUGCAUCCAAAACUGGCAAGCUAGAGUAUGGUAGAGGGUAGUGGAAUUUCCUGUGUAGCGGUGAAAUGCGUAGAUAUAGGAAGGAACACCAGUGGCGAAGGCGACUACCUGGACUGAUACUGACACUGAGGUGCGAAAGCGUGGGGAGCAAACAGGAUUAGAAACCCGUGUAGUCCAGGCGUU